CAUGAUAUAAGACGUGUUCUCUUACAUAUAUAAAUGCAGUAGUACUAGUGCUGAGAGAGAAUUAAUGUGUUCUUGGUCUUUGUACUAGAGGUUGUUACGCCUUAUAUAAUAGGACGGAGGGAGUAUUAGCUAACCCUCCUUUUUUUGAAUACACCAGAGCUAAUUUUAGAUAUUUUUUAGCUAGCUAGUAAAUUAGCUCUUGUAUCAAAAAAAUGCCUGAUUAUACUAGCUACACUAGUUGGUGUAAGUUUUUUUUUUCUUUUCCUAAAAAUUCAUCCACCUAAUAUUAAUGUAGGAACUCUCAUACAGACAUAUAUAAAACGAUUACACAUAUAUAAUGCAUGGAUGAUGGAUCUCAGAUGCAAAGAAGAUCAGAUGGAGGAUAUCCGUUGCUUUCCUGAUUGAAGAAGGCAGAUGGAGAAUACUGUAAUGGACAACCAGAGCGAGCCAGCCAGCGUUAAGCAUCUCAAUCCUCAUCAUGUCAUUUUCCGCGCAACGCAAGCGAUGAGGGAAUCACUGCACUCGUUUCGUUAUCUCGCCAUAAACCCCCGGCCUAUCGAUCGAUCGAUCGGCAGGCCCGCAGACGUACACCGGCCGGCCGUAGUAUAUAUAUAUCUCACGUGGAACAAAUUAAACGCAACAACACACUGCAUGCAGUCAGGUAGUUUCCCGGCCUGAUGAUUGAUCAGCAAAUCCGACCAUUUGCUAGCUGCUGCUACGUCACGUCGUCGCUUCCUUUUCAGUGACACGUAGGACAGCCACAGUCCACGUCAUUGGAUAUACAGGUCGUCCAAUACUCCAAUCCAAAGAUGAUGCAAGUGGGCACUUCUUCAACGGUGAAAUGCCAGUCCAGUUCAUCUGAACAAGUUUUUUGGUUCACACAAUGACCCAAAGUAGAUUAGUUUCUGACCAUCGAAAAAGGCUGCAUCCCUUCCAGAGUUUCAGACAUGCAGCGAGUACUUCAGCUCCCCAACUACGCUCAUCGAUGAGGAUAGUUUCGAAGUCAAUUCAAACUAUGUGAUGUUCUAAGUGAAGACGAAAGAUUAUUAA